UUCCUCCAAGUUGGGACUCAUCUUGUCCAGCAAUAGAAGGGGCUGUUGAACUGGAAUGUUGUGUUGGCCCUGUUUAUGUACUUCUUCCCAACCAAAUUUCAUUACUUUGCGACAAUUACGAACAUUCAAACUUUUCAAUUUUUGCCACUCAGAAAUGUGUGUCCCUGGAUAGAAACCCCUCAGUUCUGAUAGUUCAAUAAG
rnacentral:misc_RNA from 1 species